UUUUUAGUACAGGUGUGUCCCAUGCAACAUUUGGGACAUACUUAAACUAAAA
rnacentral:pre_miRNA from 1 species